AUUGAACGCUGGCGGCAGGCCUAACACAUGCAAGUCGAGCGGCAGCGGGAAGUAGCUUGCUACUUUGCCGGCGAGCGGCGGACGGGUGAGUAAUGCCUGGGGAUCUGCCCAGUCGAGGGGGAUAACUACUGGAAACGGUAGCUAAUACCGCAUACGCCCUACGGGGGAAAGCAGGGGACCUUUUGGCCUUGCGCGAUUGGGUGAACACAGGUGGGAUUAGAUUGUUGGUGAGGUAACGGCUCACCAAGGCGACGAUCCCUAGCUGGUCUGAGAGGAUGAUCAGCCACACUGGAACUGAGACACGGUCCAGACUCCUACGGGAGGCAGCAGUGGGGAAUAUUGCACAAUGGGGGAAACCCUGAUGCAGCCAUGCCGCGUGUGUGAAGAAGGCCUUCGGGUUGUAAAGCACUUUCAGCGAGGAGGAAAGGGAGUGAGCUAAUAACUCAUUUCAUUGACGUUACUCGCAGAAGAAGCACCGGCUAACUCCGUGCCAGCAGCCGCGGUAACAC
rnacentral:rRNA from 1 species